rnacentral:lncRNA from 1 species
AUGAUGGAUGGUGGUCCGGGAAAUUCUGCGCAUGCGUGGCGCCAUCCCAUGAACUCCCUUGGAAGUCGCGUCUCGUCUCUACUUCUCAGAGAUCCUGAAGAGAUUGAAAAGGAAGAGCAGGCCGCGGCUGAAAUGGCUGUGGCCAAGAGGAAUUUCAGGGUGAAUGGACUGCUCCAACUCCCGAAUUUACUGCUACCCAACCAGAGGUCGCCGGCUGGUCGGAAGGUGCAGGUGUCCCCUGAGCCUGUUCAGCAGUUCCCUACUGAGUCUGAUUGGUCUGCAACUGCCACUGCUCAGGCCACCAAACGGGUGGGUACAACCACUGAAUGGUCUUAGUCUGUCCUUCCACAGACUGUUCAACAGAAAAUGGAAGUAAGGUUGAUGGAAAAUAAACAGUUUCUAAGAAAAAAGAAUGAAAACAGAGCAAGACUCAAACAGUGAGAGUGUCAGAAGGGAAAAUCUCAGUCAAGCAGCUCUGGGAGUGGGAGUAGAGGGGGCUGCGCCUAGACCACCGCUGCUCCUUCACUCACCCCACUAUCUUCUCCUCACUGAAGAUGCCAGGCCAUGAUUUUUCAACAUCAAUGAUGCUGUCAGUCAUCAUAGAGAUCCCUUUGACAAGUCAGAAACUUGCCAAAUAUUACUGUGGCCAAUGCUAUUGUGAAGGAAACAGGAAGAAACAUGAUUCUCUGUACCAAGGUUUGGACUCUUAGCAACAAAGCAUGGAAGCGUGAAGUCAUGGGGUUUGACUCUAGGCCCCCAAAUAUUGAAAGAAAGCAUUCAUUAAUAAUUGCAAAGGACAUACCUCCAGCCCCGCUCCUUCCCUGUAAUGCAGACCCUGUGUGGGUAGGAAUUAAUCAUUAUUCACAGUAGCCAAGAUGUGGAAGCAACCCACUGCCCCGCUACAGAUCAAUGGAUAAAGAAGAUGUGGUGUGUAUGUGUGUAUAUAUAUAUAUAUACACACAAUGGAAUACUACUCAGCCAUAAAAAAAGACAAAAUCGUCCCAUUUACAACAACAUGAAUGGACCUCGAGGGUAUGAUGUUAAGCAAAAUAGUCCAGAGAGAGAAAGACAAAUACUGCAUGAUUUCAUUCAUAUGUGGAAGAUAAACUAACACAUGGACAAAGAGAACAGAUUAGUGGAUACCAGAGGGGAAGGGGGCUGGAGGGAGGGCAAAAGGGGUACAUAUGUAUGGUGAUGCAUAAAAACUAGACUAUUGGUGGUGAGCACAAUGCAGUCUAUACAG